rnacentral:rRNA from 1 species
CCCAGACUCCUACGGGAGGCAGCAGUGGGGGAUAUUGCACAAUGGGGGGAACCCUGAUGCAGCGACGCCGCGUGGGUGAAGGAGCGUUUCGGCGCGUAAAGCCCUCUCGGCAGGGAAGAAGGAGGACGGUACCUGACUAAGAAGCCCCGGCUAACUACGUGCCAGCAGCCGCGGUAAUACGUAGGGGGCAAGCGUUAUCCGGAUUUACUGGGUGUAAAGGGGGCGCAGACGGCAGCGCAAGCCAGGAGUGAAAGCCCGGGGCCCAACCCCGGGACUGCUCUUGGAACUGCGCGGCUGGAGUGCAGGAGGGGCAGGCGGAAUUCCUGGUGUAGCGGUGAAAUGCGUAGAUAUCAGGAGGAACACCGGUGGCGAAGGCGGCCUGCUGGACUGCAACUGACGUUGAGGCCCGAAAGCGUGGGGAGCAAACAGGAUUAGAUACCCGGGUAAG